UACGAAGGGGGCUAGCGUUGUUCGGAUUAACUGGGCGUAAAGGGUGCGUAGGCGGGUUUUUAAGUCAGAGGUGAAAUCCCAAGGCUCAACCUUGGAACUGCCUUUGAUACUGGGGAUCUCGAGUUCGGGAGAGGUGAGUGGAACUGCGAGUGUAGAGGUGAAAUUCGUAGAUAUUCGCAAGAACACCAGUGGCGAAGGCGGCUCACUGGCCCGAUACUGACGCUGAGGUGCGAAAGCGUGGGGAGCAAACAGG
rnacentral:rRNA from 1 species